rnacentral:rRNA from 1 species
AAAGGAAUUGACGGGGACCCGCACAAGCAGCGGAGCAUGUGGUUUAAUUCGAAGCAACGCGAAAAACCUUACCAGGGCUUGACAUCCCUCUGACCGGAUCCUAACCGAUCCUUUCUUCGGACAGAGGUGACAGGUGGUGCAUGGUUGUCGUCAGCUCGUGUCGUGAGAUGUUGGGUUAAGUCCCGCAACGAGCGCAACCCUUGUCGUCAGUUACUAACAUUAAGUUGAGGACUCUGACGAGACUGCCGAGGUCAACUCGGAGGAAGGUGGGGAUGACGUCAAAUCAUCAUGCCCCUUAUGUUCUGGGCUACACACGUGCUACAAUGGUCGGUACAAUGAGACGCAAUACAGUGAUGUGGAGCAAAUCACCAAAACCGAUCCCAGUUCGGAUUGCAGGCUGCAACUCGCCUGCAUGAAGUCGGAGUUGCUAGUAAUCGCGAAUCAGCAUGUCGCGGUGAAUGCGUUCCCGGGUCUUGUACACACCGCCCGU